GACCUCGAAUCAGGUAGGAAUACCCGCUGAACUUAA
rnacentral:rRNA from 4 species